rnacentral:rRNA from 1 species
UACGUAGGGGGCAAGCGUUAUCCGGAAUCACUGGGCGUAAAGGGUGCGUAGGUGGCUGAUCAAGCCAGGGGUGAAAGGCAUUGGCUCAACCAAUGUAAGCCUUUGGAACUGAUCGGCUUGAGUGCAGGAGAGGUAAGUGGAAUUCCUAGUGUAGAGGUGAAAUUCGUAGAUAUUAGGAGGAACACCAGUGGCGAAGGCGACUUACUGGACUGUAACUGACACUGAGGCACGAAAGCGUGGGGAGCGAACAGG